GGAAUUUUUAAUAAAUUAAAGAAAAAUAUUAUAAAAACACUGAAUUUUAUUUGAAUGAAUUGGAAUUGGUUAUGGUAAAAACAAGUAGCCGAUAUAUCAGCAUAUGCAUUUGUUAGAGGUAACACAUGGAUAACCAAUAGAGUAACACGUCGAAGCAAAUAAAAUAACAGAUGUGCUUAUUAUAUUAUACUAUGUUCACAUAUACUCACGUUAGCUUAGUUAACCAGGUUAUCUCGUAACCUACCCUUAAAAGUACGAGGUUAGCCAUAUUAUUUGUUUGUAAACAUAACCUCGCUUUGCACUAUAACCUACGUCGUUGUUUUAUAACCGACCAAAAUACGCAUCGUUGUAUUGUAAAGUAAUCGAAUAUCCUCGAAGUGCGACGCUUCAAUAUCUAUUGUGAAUAUAUUUGCUUAAAUUUGACAGCAACUGACAAAUAAUUAUUGCGAAUUUUAAAAAUGGAUAAAGAUAGACCGAAAAAAAACCGUGUGCUAUGGACGUUGGAUGCGAAGAUAUUGCUGUUACUGCACUGGACAGACAGUAUUGAUGAGCUGCGAAGCGCUAAAAAAUUUACAUGCCUUUGCGCGUAUUUAAAGUGAAUUUACGAAAAGGCAAAUGAGGUAUACUGCAGCAGAAGAAAAAGAGCAGAUUAGAAAAGAAGACGGUGGGUAUAACUGGUGGUUCUCUUUCUCCUUGGGUCCACUACAAAGAUGUGGAAGAAAUAUUGAUUGGUAACAAGGCAGUCAAUUUCCAAGAAAUCACGCAAUAGAGUAUAGGAUGUGGAAGCAGAAGACAGUAUUGAAUGAGCCAGCAGGAUCUUCGACGACACCGCAGCCUGCAAAAA